UACGUAGGGGGCUAGCGUUGUCCGGAAUCAUUGGGCGUAAAGCGCGCGUAGGCGGCCCGGUAAGUCCGCUGUGAAAGUCCAGGGCUCAACCCUGGAAAGCCGGUGGAUACUGCCGGGCUAGAGUCCGGAAGAGGCGAGUGGAAUUCCCGGUGUAGUGGUGGAAUGCGUAGAUAUCGGGAGGAACACCAGUGGCGAAGGCGGUUACCUGGAGCUUUGCUGACGCUGAUGCGCGAAAGCGUGGGGAGCGAUCCGG
rnacentral:rRNA from 1 species